GACGAACGUUGGCGGCGUGCUUAACACAUGCAAGUCGAACGGAAAGGCCCUGCUUUUGUGGGGUGUUCGAGUGGCGAACGGGUGAGUAACACGUGAGUAACCUGCCCUUGACUUUGGGAUAACUUCAGGAAACUGGGGCUAAUACCGGAUAGGAGCUCCUGCUGCAUGGUGGGGGUUGGAAAGUUUCGGCGGUUGGGGAUGGACUCGCGGCUUAUCAGCUUGUUGGUGGGGUAGUGGCUUACCAAGGCUUUGACGGGUAGCCGGCCUGAGAGGGUGACCGGCCACAUUGGGACUGAGAUACGGACCAGACUCCUACGGGAGGCAGCAGUGGGGAAUAUUGCACAAUGGGCGGAAGCCUGAUGCAGCAACGCCGCGUGCGGGAUGACGGCCUUCGGGUUGUAAACCGCUUUCGCCUGUGACGAAGCGUGAGUGACGGUAAUGGGUAAAGAAGCACCGGCUAACUACGUG
rnacentral:rRNA from 1 species